UGCGGUUCUCGGGUGAUGCACCCGGAACCAGAGAGGAGGGAGCCUGAUUCUGGGGUGCGUCACCUGAGAACCACC
rfam:Myotis lucifugus cont2.46909, whole genome shotgun sequence.